rnacentral:rRNA from 1 species
UACGAAGGGUGCAAGCGUUACUCGGAAUUACUGGGCGUAAAGCGUGCGUAGGCGGUUUGUUAAGUCCGCUGUGAAAGCCCUGGGCUCAACCUGGGAAUUGCAGUGGAUACUGGCAAGCUAGAGUGCGGUAGAGGAUGGUGGAAUUCCCGGUGUAGCGGUGAAAUUCGUAGAGAUCGGGUGGAACACCAGUGGCGAAGGCGCCUAUCUGGCUGACAACUGACGCUGAGACUCGAAAGCAUGGGGAGCAAACAGG